AGAGUUUGAUCCUGGCUCAGAUUGAACGCUGGCGGCAGGCCUAACACAUGCAAGUCGAGCGGUAACAGGGGUAGCUUGCUACCCGCUGACGAGCGGCGGACGGGUGAGUAAUGCAUAGGAAUCUGCCCGAUAGUGGGGGAUAACCUGGGGAAACCCAGGCUAAUACCGCAUACGUCCUACGGGAGAAAGGGGGCUCCGGCUCCCGCUAUUGGAUGAGCCUAUGUCGGAUUAGCUAGUUGGUAANGUAGUGGCUUUACCAAGGCAACGAUCCGUAGCUGGUCUGAGAAGAUGAUCAGCCACAUCNGGACUGAGANACNGGCCC
rnacentral:rRNA from 1 species